rnacentral:tRNA from 1 species
GCAGUGGUGGUUCAGUGGUAGAACUCUCAACUUCCAUGCAAGAGACUCAGGUUCGAAUCCCAACCAAUGCA